CCACGAAGUAGAGAAGAAGAACCACUCAUAAAAUCAUGUUUUAUCCAUCUGUACUCGUAAUGAUGUCUGUCAUGCCUUAUGUGUGCAGCACUGUUGAACACAGCCAACCAAGCUCACUUUCAGUAAAACCUGGAGAAUCUUUGACCAUUUCCUGUAAAGUAUCAGGUUAUGAUCUCAGUGAUGGCUCCAAGGGACCUUCCUGGAUUAGACAAGCUCAGGGGAAGAUCCUUGAGUUCAUUGGCAUGAUCCAUGCUGGUGGUAGCACAGACUACAAGGAUUCACUGAAAAAUAAGUUCACCAUCUCCAGAGACACAUCUACAAGCACAGUAUAUCUUAAAGGACAAAAUCUGCAACUUGAGGACACGGCUGUGUAUUAUUGUGUUCGGUAUACAGGCACUGUGAUGAAUUCCAGUUUAAAGCUCGUGCAAAAAAACAUGUGCACAAACACUGAACAUGCAUGACUAGUUUUGACGUUGAAUGCCAGGAUACGACCUUAAUCAUUAAACACUCUAAUGAAUCUCUAUAUUUAC